GAGAUAACGGUCAUAUUGACAGAGGAGUCAGGAGAUCUGAUUACCACCAGAGACACUGCUAGCUAGCCAACAGCUAGCCAACGUCUACCGAAUAGAACUUCCGCACUCAACAACCCGGUCGCACUCCGCUUCGCUCCACAGACCAUACAAACGCUCCACACCGCGUGGCCACGGCCACCCUAAUCUGGUGGUCCCAGCGCGCACGACCCACGUGGAGUUCCAGGUCUCCGGUAGCCUCUGGAACUGCCGAUCUGCGGCCAACAAGGCAGAG